CCUGAAGGGCUCUAAACGUCAUGAGGAGUUGAUGGGACAAACCCCCAAAUAACUCCGACUAAUUGAACAUAAGAAAAUGCUGAAAUAAUGGAGAUAAACAAAUUAUGUUCUUGAUGGAUAAGGACUCUCCACUACUGCUGAGUAAUGCUGAGCUGUCUAAGAACGGUCGAGAAACUGUGCGUCCUAACCUAUGUUAUAAGACAACAUAGCGCAACAAAAAGUAUGCAGUCAGUACUUUGAAUGUACUGAUAUAUGAAUGAGGAAUGACUGAAAUGCAUGAGAUAACUGAGCAUGAAUACAUGAAUAUGUAAGAUCUGAGAAUGCAAGACCAAGCAUAAACAUCUUUUUGAAAUAAUCUAUAAAUUGAAAGACUAAAAUCUAUAUGAUUGAUUAACUGGCAAUCUGUACACUUGGUCAAGCAAACCUAAACUGAAAUACACUGAAUUACUGACAUAAACUGUGGGAGGUAUUUUGUAACCGACAUAAACCAUGUGAGAUAUCAUGGAGUCCAACGUCUAACCCACGUUGAGAAAGGUUGUUCUAUCCUUGCCACCGGAAUAGAACCUGAACUGGAGUGAUCACUAAACUGAGCCCAUAUUGGUCAAGGGGAAACACUAUUUGGCGAGGCCCCUAUACCUAUGGUGGGACGUAGUUUUUGGGGAAGUAGGAUGCGCUGAACCCACACUUUUUCACUCUGUGCUAAAUCCUACUCCCAACUAAAAGACACUGAAAUACUAUGCUAACUAAUGCAUGCACUGAUAACUAAUAACUGAUAAGAUCAGGUCAUGGUGUUCUGAAAAUAACAGUGCAUACGGAUUCUGAGGUAACUGUCACGCCCUGUUUUUGCCAAAGGUUAAACAAAACAUUACUUGCGAACUCUAAAAAAAAUGAAUUGUGUACAGAGUCACCACCUAAUUUUUUAACAAAAAAUAGGAAACCUAUUUAUUUAUUUAACAAGUAUAACUUUAUUCUAAUAUAUGAACCAAAUUAGAUUCUAAGUAAGGGUUCAAGUUAUUCCGAAGGGAAGGGAUUAGGCACCCUUCAGAAUUCACAAAUGUGGUUCCUAACCAGACUGAGGUUUAUUAAAAGAAAAAAAAAUUAUAAAUACAAACAUAAAAUAUUUAUUAAAAUAAUAUAAAUAAUCUACAAAAAAAAAAUAAAAAAAAUAAAAAUAUGAAUGUGAAAAUAAGUAAAGACAUGUAACCAAAAGUACCCAAGAAAUUCAUAAAAUAAAGUAUUUUAAAUUUUAUUUAAUUAAAUAUCUAAAUAAAUUUAACUAACUUUGUGUAAAUAUUGAAGACCUAAAUUUUGCCUAAACAUGUAGUAAAGUUUAUAUAAAUGAAGAACAUCCCGCCCAACACCCAAAAAUAAAAGUUUACAUUAUAAUUAACAUUUGUAUAAGGGUAAGAAUAUAAAAAUAUAAAUACAUAAUUUAAAGUCGUCGUUGAAUGUCAUUCACGAUAAAUAUUCUCAAGAACCUGUAAAAAUACUUGUGAUAAAAUGUUAGUAACGAAUAAAUAAUUACAAAAAGGUAUGUGCACAUGUAUGUAUUUUUUAAAAAAUAUAUAAUUUUUUAUUAAAAAAAAACAGGGCUCAGAUAAAGUUUUGAAAUAUUAUAAAAAUUUUGUCAUCGCCCAAAAUAUUUAUUUUAUUAUGUAUUUAUAUACGUAAUAUCCGUCCUUUGUAAUGGGAUGACCUCAAAUAUCUAAACGGAGAGAUAAUAUCAUUGGACAUAUUCCUUGUCAAUGUAAAAGUGUAAAAAGUAAUCACUAAAAUAGCUAUUAACAAAGUAACAGUGAAUAUUCAACCAAAAACGUUGAUAACAAACAAAUAAAAAUAAUUACAUUAACAAUGUCAUAAUGGAUAUACAAAUGAAUUAGAAUAAUACAAAUAAAAUAAAACAAGCACCAUUAGCAUAGUAAGAUAGCAUAAUCAAGUCAUAAAGUAACAAAAUAUCAACAUAAAAAAAAAGUAACAAAGAAUAAUUAAAGUUACAUCACUAAAAUGUUAUAAGAAUAGUAAAAGCUGUAACAUUAAUAUAAUAACCAAAAAAUAAUCAAGACAACAUUUUAAAAAUUUGCAAAAAGAAAACUUGAUCACACUGAUGAAUGAGAUUGUUUAAGAGACAAAAUAUAAACAUAACAUGAACACAAAUAUAUAUAAUAAUGAACUGCAAAAAUCACCAAAUAACACAAAGGAAAGAUCUAGGCUUUACCAUCAUUAAUAAUAUAUUCGGAGUAACGUUACCGGAGAAGACGAAAAGUUAUCGGAGAAAAUCAUUCCGUCCAGAUUCAUGAGCUAACAAACUUCAAUAAAACAAAAUAUUUCUCUUCUAAAUCUGGUUGUAACAAUAGGGAAAGGGAGAUGAAGAUAGAGAGAAGGGAGAAAGAGGAGAGAGAAAAGAGGAGGCAGGGAUCAGAUUUUAUGGAGAAGUAUUGUAGUGUAGUCUUGUUUUCUCUUAUGUUCAAAGAGAGAAAAAAGAUGGAGAAGGGGAGAAAGAUGGAGAAGUG
rnacentral:lncRNA from 1 species